UUCUCCGAGCUCAUCUAUAAUGGGUUCUGGUACAGUCCGGAGUGUGAAUUCGUCCGUCACUGCAUUGAUAAAUCUCAGGAGAACGUGGAGGGUCGCGUGCAGCUGUCUGUCUUUAAGGGUCAGGUGUACAUCCUCGGCCGAUGAGGUCGCCCCAAAUCCCUGUACAACGAGGAGCUGGUCAGUAUGGACGUGCAGGGCGACUACGACCCCUGCGACGCCUCUGGAUUCAUCAAGAUCAAUGCGGUCAGGCUGCGGGAACACAACCGUCUGCAGGGAGCCGCGCAGAAGACGCUCUGAUGAUUUCAACUGAUUUGUGUGAUUCAAUCAACUGUUACUGUACAUGUUACUGUGACGUUACAGCCUGUUACUGAUGAAAUCUGAUUAAAACACCCAAAACACGCCAA